CAACACGCCGCUAGAGGGAGCUACAGAGCGCAUGCGUAUCUACGUUUGUGUUUAUAUUUAUGGUUCGCGUUCCAACAGCUGGAAAAUAAUUAAUCUACCGUCUGGCCCGGUGGCAGACAUGGACGGGUCGACGACUCCGGUGCGAGCACAACAUCGAUUCAAUGUGGAAAGACUUCAAAAGUAUCUGUCUGCCAAGUCGUGUGUGUCUAACACCGACACUCUGUCGGUCGGGCAGUUCGUUGCCGGACAGUCCAAUCCUACUUUCCUCAUCCAGACACCUUCCAGGAGUUAUGUGCUCAGAAAGAAGCCUCCCGGUGCGCUGCUCCCGGGAGCUCAUAAGGUGGAUCGUGAAUAUCGGGUCCAAAAGGCCUUGUAUUCCGCUGGUUUCCCUGUGCCUAAGCCCCUUCUGCACUGUACUGAUGAUGAUGUCAUUGGAACAGAGUUCUACCUGAUGGAGCAUGUCACGGGCCGCAUAUUCCGGGACCUCCGUCUGCCUGGAGUGAGCCCAGCAGAGAGAGCAGCUCUGUACGUGGCUGCAGUGGAGACCCUGGCCAAGCUGCACGCACUGGACCUGGGAGCAUUGAAGCUCGACGCCUAUGGCAAAGGAGCGGGCUACUGUCGGAGACAGGUGUCCACUUGGACCAAGCAGUACACCGCGUCUGCUCACAGGGACAUCCCGGCCAUGAAUGAGCUGUCCAAUUGGUUAGUUAGCAAUUUGCCAGCCGACGACGAAGAGGUCACACUCGUCCAUGGAGAUUUCAGAGUGGACAAUUUGAUAUUCCAUCCCACUGAGGCUCGCGUGCUUGCAGUGUUGGACUGGGAGCUGUCCACCACUGGGCAACCUCUCGCAGACCUGGCUUACUUCCUCAUGCCUCACUACUGGUCCCCAGGCCUCACCAAACUGAGCACUAUGGGCAGCCUAAACGGAAUAAAAGGUAUUCCCACAGUGGACAACUUGAUUUCCGUAUAUAGGCGCUGCCGGGGGAUCCUGUCUGCUUUGCCACCGUUGAAUUUUUAUCUGGGUUUAUCUUUCUUCAAGAUGGCAGGAAUAGCUCAGGGAGUCUAUGCACGCCACCUACUGGGCAAUGCCAGCGCUGCCAACGCGGCCGAGUUUGGCCAUUGUGUGGAGCCCCUGGCCGUGUCGGCCCUGCAGCUCAUACAGAGACCUCUGGCUUCUCCGCAGGAAGCCAGGCUGUUUUUGCAGACAACCAAAGGCCAGGAGGUGCUACAGCAGGUGAAGGGCUUCAUGAAGCAAUUUGUGCUUCCCGCUCAGAAGGAAGUUACAGACUACUACAUCCAACAUGCUCACUCCCCGUUAAGGUGGAACACCCCCCAAAUAAUAGAAGACUUAAAGGUAAAAGCCAGGGAGAUGGGGCUGUGGAACCUUUUCCUGCCGGCCGCCAGUGGACUCACUCAGCUGGACUAUGCCUUCAUCGCCGAGGAGACUGGACGCUGCCUCUUUGCCCCGGAAGUUUUUAACUGCCAGGCGCCUGACACGGGAAACAUGGAGGUUCUCCACAUGUUUGGCACGGACGAGCAAAAAAAGAAGUGGUUGGAACCCCUGAUGAGAGGAGAGAUGCGCUCGUGUUUCUGUAUGACAGAGCCUGAUGUGGCCUCGAGCGAUGCAACCAACAUGGAGUGCAGUCUUUACAGGGAGGAAGACAGCUUUGUCAUCAACGGAAAAAAGUGGUGGAGCAGCGGUGCAGGACAUGCGCGUUGCAAAGUGGCCAUUGUCAUGUGCACUACCACCCCAACCAGCACCGCCACCAGACACGGCCUACACAGUAUGAUUUUGGUGCCUUUGGACACUGCUGGUGUCAAGCUGGUCAGGCCACUCACUGUCUUCGGACAGGACGAUGCCAUCCAUGGCGGACACUUUGAGGUUCACUUUGAAAACGUGCGUGUCCCCGCCUCAAACAUCAUUCUAGGCGAGGGCCGAGGUUUUGAGAUAGCUCAAGCUCGUCUGGGAGCGGGUCGGCUGCAUCACUGCAUGAGAGCUGUGGGUAUGGCCGAGCUGGCACUGGAGCUGCUGUGCCUGCGCGCCGCCUCCAGGAGAACCUUUGGCAAGAAACUGUACCAACAUGAGGUGGUGGCUCACUGGAUAGCGGAAUGCCGCCUCAUGAUCGAGCAGAGCCGCCUGCUGACGCUUAGUGCUGCACACGCUCUCGACACGCUGGGAGGACGUGCCGCUCGCAAACAGAUAGCGCUGGUAAAGGUGGCAGCAGCCAGGAUGGCGUGCAAAGUGCUGGACUGUGCGAUACAAGUGCACGGAGGGGCGGGUGUGUCUGGAGACUUCCCCCUGGCUCACAUGUACGCCUAUGCUAGGACUUUACGCAUUGCCGAUGGACCGGAUGAGGUGCACCUGUCCACCGUUGCUGGUCUGGAACUGAGGGAUCAACUGGCCAAGGCAAAACUGUGACAUUAUCACGCUUUCCGGGUGGCUGGUCCCAGACGAUCAUGGAGGUGCACCUGCGUGAUGUGGAGGUCUUGGGCUGGUGUGGUUACACGUGGUCUGCGGUUGUGAGGGCGGUUCGAUGUCCUGCCAAAUUCUCUGAAAAGCCUUUGGAGACGGCUAACGGACACGAGGAACACAUUUUUAUGGAUUUCUACCUUCUGGUCUUCUGUCUUUAUCCACUUGCUCCUGAUUGCUUCUUCCCUGACUCCAUCUCAUCUUGGGACUGGCUUGAAUGCAGGCUGCUCUUAAAGAACCACAACAGGAAAAAUAAACAAGUAAUUUACUUUAGAUUAAAAAAAUAAUAAAAAUUAAAUAAUGUAAUAUAACUGAAAACAAAUUCCCUUUAUUCUCACCUUAAUUUGUAUCAGGCUUAGGGUUGCAAAAUCUCGGGAAUAUUCAAAGUUGGAAAUGUUCCAUGGGAAUUAACAGGAAUUAAUGGGAAUAAACAUUGAAUGCAACAUGCUA